AGUCUCAGUUCGGAUUGAAGUCUGCAACUCGACUUCAUGAAGAUGGAAUCGCUAGUAAUCGCGAAUCAGAAUGUCGCGGUGAAUACGUUCUCGGGCUUUGUACACACCGCCCGUCAAACCAUGAGAGUUUGUAAUACCCGAAGCCGGUGGCCUAACUGUGAAGAGGGAGCCGUCUAAGGUAGGACAGAUGAUUGGGGUUAAGUCGUAACAAGGUACC
rnacentral:rRNA from 1 species